GUGUAUCCUGUGUUGAACUAUGGAAGGGCUUAUUCCCUUAAUAUCAGCCAUGGUCUAGCCUAUUGCUUCACGAUUCUUUUUCAGAAUUACUAACAACUCCUCUUAUUUAGGAUUUAGGUCAGAUGCGAUAAUUACAGGUAAGAUUUUCUCUGAACCUAAAUAUGCAUACUUAAGAUGCUCGGGGAGGGAUUUCAAUUCUAGUUUG
rnacentral:lncRNA from 1 species